UCCAAAGAAGCUGAACAGAGCAUAUUCUCUUGCAGAAAAACAGCUUCUGCCCAGCACAACAGAUCUCUCCUGCUGCAAAAAGCUUAGCUCCAUGACUUGGUGAAAGCGGUCAGAACUGAUCAUCUGGAAAGGCAUCACUGGUACUCUGUCUCAUAUAAAGAGACUGUGCAUGGUGUACAACAGCUGGUUAUGUGCCCCACCUGAGCUGAAUUUCCUCUGGAUAACUUCUUUAUGUCUUAAAAUUCAACCCCUGGAGAUAAGCAAGCUUUAUGUGCUUACAGUCAAUGGAAACAGUUUGGGAGCUUCAGUAAUGCCCUGUGCUGCAUGCUCAGCUUCACGCACAAAAAUUUUAUGCUACAAACUCAAUGCUUUGGUUUUAUUUUUGACAGUUCUUAAAGCAUGACAAGAAUGAAGAGGCAGGAUGUCUCUGGCAGUCAUCUAUUUUAGCACAGAGAUCAUGUGCAUGAGGUAGUGACACACCUGCACUUCAGACCAGUUGCCGCCCCUCUGGUGAAAGUUAAAGCUUUUGAGCUGCUGAGUGUUCAGGUCAUCUUAGAUGCCACCGGUCGUUCCUUUGUGGGAAUACUGGUGUAGGAGGAGUGAGGCUUCUACCUUCCGGAGGAAAGAGGCAGUCCUGUGAUAGUGCCGAAAAUCUCGCUCAUGGACUGGAAUCCAACUAUGAGAUGCCAGCUGUGAAGCAUUAAUGGAGUACUAAUUUGCCCAGUCAUCAGACAAGGAAUUUCUGUUUCUACUCUUAGCUGCAUAAGCUGCUAUUUGUCUCAAGUUUGAAGCAAUGCUGAGAAACGUUGCACCUGAUUUGACUUGAAAGUGCUAAUAGCUAUUCUAAAAGCAAAAUCAACCACUCUCCUGAGAGCCUUAUGAGUAUAGAUCAAAGCCUGUGCCUGCUGUUGCUGCAACAGUGACAAAAAAAAAAUAGACAUCUGUUGUGUUUCACUAUAGUAACUUCUACAUUCAGGAGAACUUUGAAGUGCUUCAAGAAUUUCUUCUUAAAGUUAUCUCACAACAGCAAGUUGCAGAAAACUGGAUUAAAUUAAAAGGGAAACCACAUCAACGUAAUCAGAAAAUUAGCAUCAUUUGGAUUCUUAUUUGAACUACAAAUGCAUGAGUCAGGAACAACAGAAUUGAAAUUAAUGACACUUCAGAGACAUCUGUAUGAAGCUAAAUACGCUGAAGUUUGAACCAGGGGAUGUUGCUUUGCCUUCUGCCUGCCGAGUGCCACCAGGCAGCAGCUCCCUGCCUGCGGUGCUUCGCGGGCUCCCUCUGGCGGUCGCCGUUCAGCUCUCCUGCCUUCUUCUUUUGAAUCUUCUUCCUUGCUGAUCUCUGGCAUCUGUCCCUGUGUGGUUUAAUUCCCCAUCAGCGGUUUAGAGCUAGAUUUAAGGCUUGCAAAAUGGGCUCAGGGCAUGGCUGCCUGCUUCUUCCCUGGCUGGCAGGCAGUGCAUACACCCUAAACCCACCUACCGAUUUAUUCUUUACCCAACUGGUGUUUGAAGACAUCUGUGCUUUAUAAAGAGGCAGUGAGCAGCCCCCAGAAGCUUUUUGCUUCUAAAGCAUCUCUCAAAACUUUCUUUUUGCUCUCGUGGAAAUCUCCUGUGCCCUGUUGCAUGGAAGAAAUGUAGGAGAAGCUUCAACUACUGCCGACCUGAAGUGACCAAUUUACCUUCUUGCUAUGUUCUGUUAAUCUGUACAGCACCCAAGAGGACAACAACUGGGAUACCUCCCACUAUUGUCUUAGCCAUGCAGCAUGUAACCACUGCCUCCUAUUUUAUGGCAUCUUUAUAAAUACUCCCUGACUACAUUCAAAUGCAGUAGCCUGAAAAAUAUCAGGUGGUAAAUACUCAGUUUUCCAUGUUUGUUUUUUAGCUUAGAAAUCUUACCAAAAAGGCAAAUGACAAUGCCUGAAAUGUUCCAUGACUUUCUCUUGGCAUUUGAAUUUAAAAGGUCUCUAUAAAAAUCACGUGUUUGGGUCUAAAACCUAGGAAUCACUCUUAUUUGCAAGCAGUAUGUAUUGUUCCCUGCUGCACCCUGAACUAAUUGGCGUAUGUUUUAUUGUCCUGAGGCUUUAUUAAUGAACAAUAUUUCAUUCAAAGCUAAUUAAAAUCUCUAGGUAGACCAUGCUUAGCAAUAGAGAUGCCAAAUAUGAAAUUGGAGAACAGGUGAGCAGACAGCCUAGUAACUACAAUGAUUUUGCUGGGGAGUAGGAAGGAUGAAGGUGGAUAAAGCCCACACAUUAGAGACUCAUAAAUACAAAACACUUAAAGUUGUUGGGUAUGUUGAGCCACCAUCAGUAAUUCACUUCUUUUAAAGAUACCAUUCUGCAAAAGAUAUUUAGAUCCUAUUCUCAAAACACUGCUACUCUGCUGAGGGAGAGGAAUCAGAAGACUCCUGCUGGAUGAAGGGCCCUUUACUUAGAGUGAACUUGGAGAAUGAGGGUCAUGGCACACACUUCUCCAUCUUUCAGUUAGAAUAUGUUCCUUGGGAACAGAAGGCAUGGACCAAAAUCUGCAGCCUGGACAUUCCCACUUGCUUCUGGAGUCUGCAAGAGCUCGUAGCAGUUUAUAGUAGCCCUGAAACUUUUCAUAUUUUUUGUUAGAUUUCAUAAAGAAAAGGGAAAUAUAAAAUUUGUCUUAACUUCUAGCCUGGGUCACUUAACCCAAGGGGAGUGCAGUGAGGUGGCUAAGGAGCCACGACAGCUGGGAUGUGAGCACCAUCUGUGGCCUGCCUUGUACAGAAGGCACCAGGCUACUUUGUGGCCCCCCACGGUUCCCCAGCCUCAUCUUGGAAACCACAUUUUACUUGCUUUACGGAUUUAUUUCUUGGCUCUCUUUCAGGCAGCUCUCUCCUGAGAGAUUGCUCCUCUUUUAUUUCCUCUUAGUCCUUUUUGUCAUGCAGAAUUGGAUUUUAUUCUAGCUGCUCCUUACCUGCUGCUGGAGUUAACCCCUGCAUUACUACCUGGAGUCUGUAAAGCCCACCAAAUCUAGAACAAAUCAAAUCCUGAGCUGUAUUCCUCCAGUUUGCUGCAUUUAACAUAUCUAAUGACCUCCCUCAGACACAUGUAUAAGAGCUCAUGAGGAAGGAAUUUUUUCCUUUCUUUACUUGCACAACAAGAAAAAACCUGGAGUAGUGUGAGUUUAGAGGAGUCCAGCCUGUGGAGGAAGCUUCCUGUAGUUUGAGCCGGGACAUCUGAAGCUCCUUAUCUGCAGUCUGGCACCUUGCUCAGAGCACCAGAAAGUCAUCUGAACUUGCAACCAGGAGACAAAAGAGAAUAGUCCCGUUCAAAAUGGUGGGAGAGGUUUGUCCUCUCUUGUAGUUCAAUGCUACCUACUGUUACCACCUGAAACCAGAGCCCUGUUAUUCCAUGAGCUACAGAGAUCAAGAGGAAGAGACGUCUGCUUCCUGACAAUCAUAAAAAUAAGAGGCAAACGAUAAGAAAGGGGAAAAAAACAAACUGACAAAAACAAUGAAACGGAGGUGUCUGAAUAUUUUCAAGAAUCUGGACCUGUUUCCCAAAUUCAUAUUGCAGCUGAAAUGAUGAGCAAACCACAUCCAUGCUACCUGUAAAGCAGAUACAAAUUUCCAUGUCAUCUCUUGUGCCCUUCCUUUCUACGUCUAUUCCCCAACAUACCGUUUUUUGAAGUCUCCUUUGCCAGACAUAUACAGCCGGGCUCUGGGCACUGCCUGGGGAAGCAUGCCGAGCUUGAACAGCCACAGUGCCCGCUGGGCAAACGAGAAGGUCCAUAGUCUGCUGCUGCUGGAGUUUCUGACACGUUCUUUUUUGGACUUUGGAUAAAAAAGCAAAGAAAUAGAAAAGGGAAAUGUGCUGAGACUCGAGCAAAGAUUUCUUCGUUUUGCUUUUGCUGUUGUAUAAUCUUUCAUUAGCAGCUGUAAUUAGUCAGUACCAGACCAUCAGUGGUUAUCGAAGUGUCUGCAACUAAUUAGACACUGUGUUUUUAUGGGAAUAAGCCCGUUAGCCUAAGAAUUUACACUAACUAUUCAUCUGAAAUGAUGAGCAGAAGGCUUAUCACGGUGGCAUUUCUCAUCUCAGAAAUGGUUUUAACAUCAGCCAUAGCCAUGUUAGAAAGAACAAUUUCUCUGCCUUCUUUUGCCAAUGAGAAUCAGAAAUUCAUGCUAGCAAGUCAGUCAUGAAGGUCUGAGUUGAUCAUUCUGAUUGUUGUACACUGGAAUUCCGAGAAAGAAAACAAUUUGCUCAUAAAACCUAUCUUUGUUACGUUUUGUCUUCAGCUAUUGCAAGUCCCUCAUCAUAUACAGAAUAUAUGGCCUGAGUUUUCUUUAUAGAUACACUGGAAUUACAUACAGGCAAUGGAAAACUAGAGGUGAGAUUUGCUUUGAUAGAUGCAUCUCCCCCUUUUUAGGGGUCAUUUCCGGGAACAAUAUUGCUCUUUCAUUGCUAAAUGAAACUUCAGGGCCUGUUAUGUCAAGCAAUUGGCAGGAGAAAUUUAGUAUUAGGCAGGACUGAAUUGAAGUGUACAUGGGCUGGAAUUGCACAUGCUCUGUCAAACAUUUUCAUCAUUUAACAUGUGUAAGGACUAAAACUUGCAAUGUUAGGCAGUAGUUACAUUCUUACAUUCUCAGACUAAGUGGGAGCAUUAUAAUAGAUAAAUCCAUUUAAAAAGAGAUUCCAAUCUUGGUCAAAAUCUUGGCUGUUUGCAAAACUGAUCCUUUUUGGAAAGCACUAGAAUUUUCACUCAUGCCAUAUUUUAUUGUUCAAGUGUCCAUCAAUGAGUGUCAAAACAUGUUGAAGUCUCCAGAACUGUACUUGGCACCCACUAGAAUACCAAAUUAUUUCACUAAUGAGCAGUCACUCUAUCAUGACAGCCCCAAAAUUCACAAUGAUGGGAUAUUUAGGUGUAAUUUGUGAAAUAUGAAUGGGCUGUACAGUCUGAUUUUAUUCCCUGGAAGACAAGGGGGGAAAAAAAGAAAUGGUGAGUAACAAGAAUAUGAUUUGUAAGGCCCAGAACUCUCACAUAGUAAAAUCCAAGGGCAGAGAGUGCAGCUCACAGCAUUUCUCCCCUCUUUUCAGUGGGAGCUGGGUGCUGCCCCAGCACUUUUCCUGUGACAAAACGUCUCCAUGAAUAUCAACAGCAUGGUGGCUCCCUUGUGAUUCUGGGGGGGCUCCCUAGAAAAGAGGUGAGCUGUGAGGAGGAGCCCAGGUAGUGAUGUGACAGAGGAAUGCUGUGUUAUGCGGUCUGGGCUGGAACCGUGGUGGAAAAUACUGGGUUGGGGUUGGAGGGGCGGGAAUCUGCCCCGAGGUGGUUGUGGGGAAAUGGUGGAGCUAACAGCAAAUGGCGGCUCUAGGGCGGGGAAUGGAAAAGGGACCUGAAAGGGCAGGAGUGACAGGAAGUGGUGAGGUACAUCAACACUGGUGUCUAUGGGGGAAGCGCUGGCAUUGCCCUUGUCUCUGUGUAGGGGUCUGUGUGUGUGUCCUUGUUCUUAGACCAGUUUUAAAGUCACUGCAGUGUACUUUGCUAAACUUCCCAGGGCUGAAAGGAAGCUCUGCGUGCAGCUGUAGGGCCAUCCUGGUGGUACCUGAGCAAAAGGAGAAUUCGGGCUUUGCCCCCUUGCUUUAGGGCAGAGCUCAGCCACUGUGUAAAUCUUUAGGCCAGAGGAGGUCCCUGUAAGCAGGUGGCUGUGCCUUGCCCCUGCCUUUCUGAGGUGCAGGUGAGAGGAGCAUGGAGCAGGGGAGCUCUGGGUGCCGGUGUCCUGGCAUCCCCUGCCUUAAGCUACCAAUCCCAGAGUGCCCAUCUCACGUGGCCUGGUGUUCAUCAGCCCAGCCUCAAGAAAGACGCACACGCAGCCAUUGCUGCCUUGGAGGUAAGCAAGUUGGCAGCGCUUGCAGCACUUGAGCUGAAAAGGAUUCAAGAGGAACAGAAUGUUUUUCACACUAUUAUGGCUUGGGCCUGGCUUAACACGUAACCACUCACAGGAAAACAGUCUGCAAAAUUGUCAUGGGAGCCCAAAUUCCUGAAGCACCAGGUACCUCCAUACGUCCAUACAGUAAGUAUUUAUACACAUCGAUAAGACAACCACCACACCUCCCUCCACCCCCCAGCCCUUCACUUCUCCUUGUCUGACAGCUGCUCCAGUCCCUAAUUCUCCAAGUGGCCCUUUCCUGGACUUGUUCUGACAGAGUUGGGCAUAGUGACUUGGAACAAAAGCCGAUGUGGCGUGGGAUGCUUUUGUGUGAGCUGGCUCUUCCCAUUCAAGAUGUGAACCCACCAAAUCCUUCCGAACUUUCCAGCUGAUGCUAAAACAUCCAUGUUCCUUCCUUUUCAAGAACAACUUCCAGAGGGUUGCCACCCAGAAUAAUGUUGGUUCAGUUGUGACGAAUGCAUCUUCCCCCUGCUCUGCUCAGGGAAACUUGCUUUUUGAAACCACCGUUGGGCUUUCCAAAUUGCAGUUCUUCAGCAACACCAGCCAGUUUUCUUGCUUUCCUCUGGACAGAGGUGCACCGCAGUGCUCGGAAAGCUGGUAAAAAUGUUAUUCAAGUCCUUAAGAAGAAUUACUACAUUUUCUGUUGACCUGAUAAUUGGUAUAUGGUUGCUGGGGUAACUGUGCUGACUGCCAUUCAGGCUCAUGAAGUCGGUGCCCCUGUGAACCUACACGCCAUGCAGAAGUGACCUAGCAACUUGGGUUUCUGAAGAGUUACAGCACUGUUCCAAAGCCAGUUGGAAAAUGUGGGCUGUGACAGUAAUUUGGGAAGUAUUUGCCCAGCUGUAAAAGACUGUUUGCCUCCUACAACACUGCAUCACUUCAAGCUUUACACAAGGUAAUGAAGCUUUGCUGUUCAUAAAGCACAGAAUUUCUUUUCUGGAAUGAAUCCUUUUAUUCUUUUAAGUUUUA